rnacentral:rRNA from 1 species
AUUCAGCGGCGGACGGGUGAGUAAUGCCUAGGAAUCUGCCUGGUAGUGGGGGACAACGUUUCGAAAGGAACGCUAAUACCGCAUACGUCCUACGGGAGAAAGCAGGGGACCUUCGGGCCUUGCGCUAUCAGAUGAGCCUAGGUCGGAUUAGCUAGUUGGUGAGGUAAUGGCUCACCAAGGCGACGAUCCGUAACUGGUCUGAGAGGAUGAUCAGUCACACUGGAACUGAGACACGGUCCAGACUCCUACGGGAGGCAGCAGUGGGGAAUAUUGGACAAUGGGCGAAAGCCUGAUCCAGCCAUGCCGCGUGUGUGAAGAAGGUCUUCGGAUUGUAAAGCACUUUAAGUUGGGAGGAAGGGUUGUAGAUUAAUACUCUGCAAUUUUGACGUUACCGACAGAAUAAGCACCGGCUAACUCUGUGCCAGCAGCCGCGGUAAUACAGA